GUCCGAGUGGCGGAAUGGCAGACGCGCUAGGUUGAGGGCCUAGUGUCCUUAGGGACGUGCGAGUUCAACUCUCGCCUCGGACACCA
rnacentral:tRNA from 4 species